GGUGACAGGUGCUGCAUGGCUGUCGUCAGCUCGUGUCGUGAGAUGUUGGUUAAGUCCCGCAACGAGCGCAACCUUAUCUUUAGUUACCAUCAUUAAGUUGGGGACUCUAAAGAUACUGCCCCGGUUAACGGGGAGGAAGGUGGGGAUGACGUCAAGUCCUCAUGGCCUUUAUGUCCAGGGCUACACACGUGCUACAAUGGGUUGUACAAAGGGUUGCGAACUCGCGAGAGUAAGCCAAUCCCAAAAAGCAACUCUUAGUUCGGAUUGGAGUCUGCAACUCGACUCCAUGAAGCUGGAAUCGCUAGUAAUCGUGGAUCAGCAUGCCACGGUGAAUACGUUCCCGGGCCUU
rnacentral:rRNA from 1 species